ACUUUUUAUAUUUUUUGUUGUAUUUUUGUUUUUUUUUCUUUUUUUGUGCUUUAUUUAUCUUUUUUCUUCUGCUUUAAUUUUUUUUCUUAUUUUAUUUUUAUUUUUUAUUUCUUUCUUUUUUUAUAGUUUCAUAAAUUUUUGUUAAGUUUUCAAAUUUUUUAUUUUUCUAUCUUUUUUUCUUAUUUUAUCAUUCUCGGUUAUUUUUUAUUGCAUUUUUAUAAUUUUUCAUUAACUUUUUCUCCUUUCAAAUUUUUCUUCACUUUUUUCUUUGUUUUAAAAUUUUCUAUAAAUUUUUUUCUUUUUGUUUUAUUUCAUAUUUUUGCCUCUUCAUUUUUUAUUUUUUUCUUCUUUUUCUCAUUUUUUUCUCAAAUUUUAUUUUAUAUAUUUUGUAUUUUCAUUUUUUAUUUUUUUCUUGCUUUUUCUUAAAUCUUUUUGUUUGCACUUUUUUUUAUUUCUUCUUUAUAAUUUUAAAACCUCAAACUUCUUUUUUUGUGCACAUUCUUUUAUUUUAUUUAUAUUUUUUAUUAACUUUUAUUUUAUUUUUCAUCUUUUUCCUCUAUUUGUUAUAUAUAUAUAUAUUUUUGUUUUCUUUGUACAUUCUAAACUAAAAGUUUUUUCCAUUUUGUAUUUGAAAUUUUUAUUCAUUUUGUCUUUUUAUAUUUUUUUGAUUCGUAAAUUUUUUAUUUUCUUACUUUGUUACUUUUAUUUUUUCCUUUUUUGGUAUUUUAUUUAAUUUUUUCUUUUAUAUUAAUAUUUUCUCUAAUUUAUUUUUUCAUUUAUAUUUUAAAAAUUUUUAUAAAGUUCAAAAUUUUUAUUUUUUCAUUUUCCUAUUUUUUUGUCUAUUUUUUUUUGCUAUUUUUUGUUCUAUUUUAUAAAUUUUCAAUAACUUUUUCCCUUCAAAAUUUUCUUUCUUUUUGCCUUUUCUUUUUUUAUUUGUUUAAUUCUUUCAUUGUUUUAAAAUUAUUUAUAUUUCUUAAGCUUUUUUAUUCCAAAUCUUUUCUUUUCAUUUUUUUCUUAUUUCUUUCUUUUUUUUCACAAAUUUCCUUUCACUUCUUAUUUGCGUUUUUAAAUUCUCAUACUUUUUUUUUUUUGCACUUUCUCCUUUGGUUUUCAUUUUUAUUUUGAAUUAACUUUUCUCUUUUUUAAUUUUUUGCCUUUGACUUUUUAUAUUGUUUUCUCAUUAUGUCUUAUAUGUUUUUCAAUUUUUUGUAUUUUUUGAACUUUUUUUUUUAUUUUGUCAUUCCAUUUCAUUUUUGAAGUUUUUAUUCAAUUUUUGUCUUUUUUAUUUUCUUACUUUUUAUAUUUUUAUUGUAUUUUUGUUCAUCUUUUAUUUUGGUUUAUUUUUUUAUUUUAUCAUUGUUGGUUAUUUUCUAUUGCAUUUUUAUAAUUUUCUUUAACUUUUCUCCUUCAAUUUUCUUCUUUUUUACUUAUUUUUUCAUGUGCUUUCAUAUUUUUUUUUGUUUAUUCACUUUUUUCUUUUUGUUUUAUUUCAUAAUUUUGACUCUUCAUUUUUUAUUUUUUUCUUGUUUUAACUUUUUUUUUUUGCACUUCCUUGUCUUGUUUUUAUUUUUAUUUUGUAUUAACUUUUUCCCUUUGUUAAUUUUUUUAUCUUUGAUUUUUUUAUUUUUUUCUUAUUACUUUUUUUGCUUAUGUUUUCUAAAUUAAUUUUUUCUAUUUUGUAAUCCCUUUUCAUUUUUUAUCUCCUUUUAAUUUUUUAUCUUUCAUUUUUUAUACCUUUAUUUCUUAUUGUUUGUUAUAUUUUUUUUAUUUUUUGUUCGUAUUUUAUAAACUAAUUUUUUUUUACAAUUUUAAAACCUCUAACUUCUUUUUUUGUGCACUUCCUUUUGUUUUUAUUUCUUUUUUUGUUAACUUUUAUUUUAUUUUUUAUCUUUGAUUUUUUAUAUCUUUUUCUUGUAUUUGUUUUUUUUUUCUUUAAACUAAAAGUUUUUUCUGUUUUAUAUUUCAAAUUUCUAUUCAUUUUGUCUUUUUAUAUUUUUUUGAUUUGCUAACUUUUUAUUUUCUUACUUUUUUUUUCAUUUUAUUUUUUUUCUUUUAUAUUACUAUUUUUUAUUUAUAUUUUAAAAAAAUUUUAUAAAAUUUAAAAUUUUUAUUUUUUGAAUCUUUUUUCUUUUUUUCAUUUUUUUUUGUUCUAUGUUGUAAUUUUUCAAUAACUUUUUCCCUUCAAAAUUUUCUUUCUUUUUGCUUUUUUUUUUUUUCAUCUGCUUUCAGUGUUGCUUGUUUUAAUUUUUUUGUUGUUUUAAAAUUUUUUAUAUUUCUUUUUUCCUUUUUUAUUCCAAAUCUUUUGUCUUUUCAUUUUUAUUCUUUUCCUGCUUUCUUAUUUUUUUCACAAAUUUCCUUUCAUUUCUUAUUUGCAUCUUUAAAUUAUUAGACUUUUUUUGUGCACUUUCUUUUGUUUUAUUUUAUUUUUUAUCUUUGAUUUUUAUAUCUUUUUCCUAUAUUUGUUAUAUUUUUUUUUGUUUUUCUUUGUAUAUUCUGAACUAAAAGUUUUUUCUAUUUUGUAUUUGAAAUUUUUAUUCAUUUUCUCUUUUAUAUUUUUUUAUUCGCUAAUUUUUUAAUAUCUUACUUUUUUAUUUUUUGCUUUUUUGGUAUUUUAUUGAAUUUUUUCUUCUAUAUUAAUAUUUUAUCUUAAUUUAUUUUUCCAUUUAUUUUUAUUUAUAUUUUAAAAAAUUUUUAUAAAGUUCAAAUUUUUUUUUUUUUCUUUUUUUUUUUUGCUAUUUUUGUUCUACUUUGUAAUUUUUUAAUAACUUUUUCCCUUCAAAAUUUUCCUUCUUUUUGCUUUUUUUCAUAUGCUUUCAUUUUUACUUGUUUUAAUUUUUUCGUUAUUUUAAAAAUUUUUAUUUUUUUCUUUUUUAUUCCAAAUCUUUUGUCUUUUCAUUUUUAUUCUUUUCUUGCUUUUCUUAUUUUUUUUUUCACAAAUUUCCUUUCAUUUCUUAUUUGCGUUUUUAAAUUCUCAUACUUUUUUUUAUUUUGCAUUAACUUUUCUCUUUUUUAAUUUUUUUUCUCACUUUUUAUAUUGUUUUAUUAUUAGGCUUAUAUGUUUUUCAAUUUUUUUCCUUUUUUAUUUUCUUACUUUUAUAUUUUUUGUUGUAUUUUUGUUUUUUUUCUUUUUUUGUGCUUUAUUUAUCUUUUUUCUUUUGCUUUAAUUUUUUUUCUUAUUUUAUUUUUAUUUUUAUUUCUUUCUUUUUUUAUAGUUUCAUAAAUUUUUGUUAAGUUUUCAAAUUUUUUAUUUUUCUAAUCUUUUUUUCUUGUUUUAUCAUUCUCGGUUAUUUUUUAUUGCAUUUUUAUAAUUUUUCCAUUAACUUUUUCUCCUUUCAAAUUUUUCUUCAUUGUUUUUUUUGUUCACUUUUUUCUUUGUUUUAAAAUUUUCUAUAAAUUUUUUUUUUUUGUUUUAUUUCAUAUUUUUGCCUCUUCAUUUUUUAUUUUUUUCUUCUUUUUCUCAUUUUUUUCUCAAAUUUUAUUUUAUAUAUUUGUAUUUUCAUUUUUUAUUUUUUUCUUGCUUUCUCUUAAAUCUUUUUGUUCGCACUUUUUUUUAUUUCUUCUUUAUAAUUUUAAAACUCAAACUUCUUUUUUGUGCACAUUCUUAUUUAUUUUUCAUCUUAUCAUAUUUUUAUACUUUUAUCCUCUAAUUUGGUUAUAUAUUUUCUCUAUUUUUGUUAUAUAUAAUAUAUUACCAAAAGUUUUGUUUCCAUUUGUACAUUUACUAAAGUUUUUUCCAUUUCGUAAUUUUCUAUUUCUUACUUUGUUACUUUUUAUGUUUCUUCCUUUUUUGGGUAAUUUUAUUUAUUUUUCUUUACAUUAAAUUUAUCUUAUUAAUUUUUUCAUUUAUUUUUUAUUUAUAUUUUAAAAAAUAUUUUAUAUAAGUUCAAAAUUUUUUAUUUUUUCCAUUUUCCCUAUUUUUUUGUUCCUAUUUUUUUUGCUAUUUUUUGUUCUAUUUUAUAAAUUUUUCAAUACUUUUUCCCUUCCAAAAUUUUCUUUUCUUUUUUGCCUUUUUUGUCAAUAUGCUUUUGGUUUUUAAUUUGUUUGUAAUUCUUUCAUUGUUUAAAAUUUAAUUUAUAUUUCUUAAGCUUUUUUAUUCCAAAUCUUUUCUUUUCAUUUUUAUUCUUUUCUUUUUUUCACAAUUUUCCUUUCACUUCUUAUUUGCGUUUUUAAAUUCUCAUACUUUUUUUUUUUUUGCACUUUCUCCUUUGGUUUUCAUUUUAUUUGAAUUAACUUUUCUCUUUUUUAAUUUUUUGCCUUGACUUUUUUAUAUUUUUCUCAUUAUGUCUUAUAUGUUUUUCAAUUUUUUGUAUUUUUUGAACUUUUUUUUUAUUUGUAUUCCAUUCAUUUUUAAGUUUUUAUUCAAUUUUUUUUUUUAUUUUCUUACUUUUUAUAUUUUUAUUGUAUUUUUGUUCAUCUUUUAUUUUGGUUUAUUUUUUAUUUUAUCAUUGUUGGUUAUUUUCUAUUGGCAUUUUUAUAAUUUUUCUUUAACUUUUUCUCCUUUCAAAUUUUUCUUCUUUUUUUACUUAUUUUUUCAUGUGCUUUCAUAUUUUUUUUGUUUUCACUUUUUUCUUUUUGUUUUAUUUCAUAAUUUUGACUCUUCAUUUUUUAUUUUUUUUCUUGUUUUAACUUUUUUUUUUUUGCACUUCCUUGUCUUGUUUUUAUUUUUAUUUUGUAUUAACUUUUUCCCUUUGUUAAUUUUUUCUCUUUGAUUUUUUUUAUUUUUUUCUUAUUACUUUUUUGCUUAUGUUUUCUAAAAUUAAUUUUUUCUAUUUUGUAAUCCCUUUUCAUUUUUUAUCUCCUUUAAUUUUUUAUCUUUCAUUUUUUAUACCUUUAUUUCUUAUUGUUUGUUAUAUUUUUUUAUUUUUUGUUCGUAUUUUAUAAACUAAUUUUUUUUUACAAAUUUUAAAACCUCUAACUUCUUUUUUUGUGCACUUCCUUUUGUUUUUAUUUCUUUUUUUGUUAACUUUUAUUUUAUUUUUUAUCUUUGAUUUUUAUAUCUUUUUCUUGUAUUUGUUUUUUUUUUUCUUUAAACUAAAAGUUUUUCUGUUUUAUAUUUCAAAUUUCUAUUCAUUUUGUCUUUUUAUAUUUUUUUGAUUUGCUAACUUUUUAUUUCUUACUUUUAUUUUUUUCCAUUUUGGUAUUUUAUUUAUUUUUCUUUUAUAUUACUAUUUUUUAUUUAUAUUUUUAAAAAUUUUAUAAAAUUUAAAAUUUUUAUUUUUUUGAAUCUUUUUUCUUUUUUCAUUUCUUUUUUUGUUCUAUGUUGUAAUUUUCAAUAACUUUUUCCCUUCAAAAUUUUCUUUCUUUUUGCUUUUUUUUUUUUUCAUCUGCUUUCAGUGUUGCUUGUUUUAAUUUUUUGUUGUUUUAAAAUUUUUUAUAUUUCUUUUUUCCUUUUUUAUUCCAAAUCUUUUGUCUUUUCAUUUUUAUUCUUUUCUUGCUUUCUUAUUUUUUCACAAAUUCCUUUCAUUUCUUAUUUGCAUCUUUAAAUUAUUAGACUUUUUUUGUGCACUUUCUUUUGUUUUUUAUUUUAUUUUUUAUCUUUGAUUUUUAUAUCUUUUUCCUAUAUUUGUUAUAUUUUUUUUGUUUUUCUUUGUAUAUUCUGAACUAAAAGUUUUUCUAUUUUGUAUUUGAAAUUUUUAUUCAUUUUUCUUUUGUAUUUUUUUAUUCGCUAAUUUUUUAAUAUCUUACUUUUUAUUUUUUGCUUUUUGGGUAUUUAUUUAAUUUUUUCUUCUAUAUAAUAUUUUAUCUUAAUUUAUUUUUCCAUUUAUUUUUAUUUAUAUUUUAAAAAAUUUUUAUAAAAGUUCAAAAUUUUUAUUUUUAUUUUUUGAUCUUUUUCUUUUAUUAUUUUUCUUGCUAUUUUUGUCCUACUUUGUAAUUUUUUAAUAACUUUUCCCUUCAAAAUUUUCCUUCUUUUUACUUUUUUUUCAUAUGCUUUCAUUUUUACUUGUUUUAAUUUUUUCAUUAUUUUAAAAAUUUUUAUUUUUUCUGUUUUUUAUUCCAAAUCGUUUGUCUUUUCAUUUUUAUUCUUUUCUUGCUUUUCUUAUUUUUUUUUCACAAAUUUCCUUUCAUUUCUUAUUUGCGUUUUUAAAUUCUCAUACUUUUUUUUAUUUUGCAUUAACUUUUCUCUUUUUUAAUUUUUUUUCUCACUUUUUAUAUUGUUUUAUUAUUAGGCUUAUAUGUUUUUCAAUUUUUUUCCUUUUUUAUUUUCUUACUUUUUAUAUUUUUUGUUGUAUUUUUGUUUUUUUUCUUUUUUUGUGCUUUAUUUAUCUUUUUUCUUUUGCUUUAAUUUUUUUUUCUUUCUUUUUUUAUAGUUUCAUAAAUUUUUGUUAAGUUUUCAAAUUUUUUAUUUUUCUAUCUUUUUUUCUUAUUUUAUCAUUCUCGGUUAUUUUUUAUUGCAUUUUUAUAAUUUUUCAUUAACUUUUUCUCCUUUCAAAUUUUUCUUCUUUUUUUUUAUGUGCUUUCAUUUUUUUUUGUUCACUUUUUUCUUUGUUUUAAAAUUUUCUAUAAAUUUUUUUCUUUUGUUUUAUUUCAUAUUUUUGCCUCUUCAUUUUUUAUUUUUUUCUUCUUUUCUCAUUUUUUUCUCAAAUUUUAUUUUAUAUAUUUUGUAUUUUCAUUUUUUAUUUUUUUCUUGCUUUCUCUUAAAUCUUUUGUUCGCACUUUUUUUAUUUCUUCUUUAUAAUUUUAAAACCUCCAAACUUUCUUUUUUUGUGCAGCAUUCAUUUAUUUUUAAUUUAUAUUGUGUUUUAUUAUACUUUUAUUUUAUUCUUUUCAUCUUUUCCUCUAUUUGUUAUAUAUAUAUAUAUAUAUUAUUGUUUUCUUUGUGCAUUCUAAACUAAAAGUUUUUUCCGAUUUUGUAUUUGAAAUUUUAUUCAUUUUGCCUUUUUUAUAUUUUUUGAUUCGUAAAUUUUUAUUUCUUACUUUGUUUACUUUUUAUUUUUAUUCCCUUUUUCGGUAUUUUAUUUUAUUUUUUCCUUUAUAUUAAUAUUUUCUCUUAAUUUAUUUUUAUUUAUAUUUUAAAAUUUUUAUAAGUUCAUUUUUCAUUUUUCUAUUUUCCUAUUUUUGUCUAUUUUUUUUUGCUAUUUUUUGUUCCUAUUUAUAAAUUUUUCAAUAACUUUUUCCCUUCAAAAUUUUCUUUCUUUUUGCCUUUUUUUCAUAUGCUUUUGUUUUUAUUUGUUUUAAUUCUUUCAUUGUUUUAAAAUUAUUUAUAUUUCUUAAGCUUUUUUUAUUCCAAAUCUUUUCUUUUCAUUUUUAUUUUUACUUUUCUUUUUUUUUUUCACAAAUUUCCUUUCACUUCUUAUUUGCGUUUUUAAAUUCUCAUACUUUUUUUUUUUUGCACUUUCUCCUUUGGUUUUCAUUUUUAUUUUGAAUUAACUUUUCUCUUUUUUAAUUUUUUGCCUUUGACUUUUUAUAUUGUUUUCUCAUUAUGUCUUAUAUGUUUUUCAAUUUUUUGUAUUUUUUGAACUUUUUUUUUUUUUGUCAUUCCAUUUCAUUUUUUUUUUUAUUCAUUUUGUCUUUUUAUUUUCUUACUUUUUAUAUUUUUAUUGUAUUUUUGUUCAUCUUUUUAUUUUGGUUUAUUUUUUUAUUUUAUCAUUGUUGGUUAUUUUCUAUUGCAUUUUUAUAAUUUUUCUUUAACUUUUUCUCCUUUCAAAUUUUUCUUCUUAUUUUUUCACGUGCUUUCAUAUUUUUUUUGUUUUCACUUUUUUCUUUUUGUUUUAUUUCAUAAUUUUGACUCUUCAUUUUUUAUUUUUUUCUUGUUUUAACUUUUUUUUUUGCACUUCCUUGUCUUGUUUUUAUUUUUAUUUUGUAUUAACUUUUUCCCUUUGUUAAUUUUUUGUCUUUGAUUUUUUUUAUUUUUUUCUUAUUACUUUUCUUGCUUAUGUUUUCUAAAUUAAUUUUUUCUAUUUUGUAAUCCCUUUUCAUUUUUUAUACCUUUAUUUCUUAUUGUUUGUUAUAUUUUUUUUUUUUUGUUCGUAUUUUAUAAACUAAUUUUUUUUUACAAUUUUAAAACCUCUAACUUCUUUUUUUGUGCACUUCCUUUUGUUUUUAUUCUUUUUUUGUUAACUUUUAUUUUAUUUUUUAUCUUUGAUUUUUUAUAUCUUUUUCUUGUAUUUGUUUUUUUUUUUCUUUAAACUAAAAGUUUUUUCUGUUUUAUAUUUCAAAUUUCUAUUCAUUUUGUCUUUUUAUAUUUUUUUGAUUUGCUAACUUUUUAUUUUCUUACUUUUUUUUUUUUUCCAUUUUUGGUAUUUUAUUUUAUUUUUUCUUUUAUAUUACUAUUUUUUAUUUAUAUUUUAAAAAAUUUUAUAAAAUUUAAAAUUUUUAUUUUUUGAAUCUUUUUUCUUUUUUCAUUUUCAUUUUUUUGUUCUAUGUUGUAAUUUUUCAAUAACUUUUUCCCUUCAAAAUUUUCUUUCUUUUUGCUUUUUUUUUUUCAUCUGCUUUCAGUGUUGCUUGUUUUAAUUUUUUUGUUGUUUUAAAAUUUUUUAUAUUUCUUUUUUCCUUUUUUAUUCCAAAUCUUUUGUCUUUUCAUUUUUAUUCUUUUCUUGCUUUUCUUAUUUUUUUCACAAAUUUCCUUUCAUUUCUUAUUUGCAUCUUUAAAUUAUUAGACUUUUUUUGUGCACUUCUUUUGUUUUUAUUUUAUUUUUUAUCUUUGAUUUUUAUAUUUUUUCCUAUAUUUGUUAUAUUUUUUUUUUGUUUUUCUUUGUAUAUUCUGAACUAAAAGUUUUUUCUAUUUUGUAUUUGAAAUUUUUAUUCAUUUUUCUUUUAUAUUUUUUUAUUCGCUAAUUUUUUAAUAUCUUACUUUUUUAUUUUGCUUUUUUGGUAUUUUAUUGAAUUUUUUCUUCUAUAUUAAUAUUUUAUCUUAAUUUAUUUUUCCAUUUAUUUUUAUUUAUAUUUUAAAAAAUUUUUAUAAAGUUCAAAAUUUUUUUUUUUAUUUUCUUUUUUUUUUUGCUAUUUUUGUUCUACUUUGUAAUUUUUUAAUAACUUUUUCCCUUCAAAAUUUUCCUUCUUUUUGCUUUUUUCAUAUGCUUUCAUUUUUACUUGUUUUUAUUUUUUCGUUGUUUUAAAAAUUUUUAUUUUUUUUUUUUUAUUCCAAAUCUUUUGUCUUUUCAUUUUUAUUCUUUUCUUGCUUUUCUUUUUUUUUUUCACAAAUUUCCUUUCAUUUCUUAUUUGCGUUUUUAAAUUCUCGUACUUUUUUUAUUUUGCAUUAACUUUCUCUUUUUUAAUUUUUUUUCUCACUUUUUAUAUUGUUUUAUUAUUAGGCUUAUAUGUUUUUCAAUUUUUUUCCUUUUUUAUUUUCUUACUUUUUAUAUUUUUUGUUGUAUUUUUGUUUUUUUUCUUUUUUUGUGCUUUAUUUAUCUUUUCUUUUUGCUUUAAUUUUUUUCUUUCUUUUUUUUAUAGUUUCAUAAAUUUUUGUUAAGUUUUCAAAUUUUUUAUUUUUCUAUCUUUUUUUCUUAUUUUAUCAUUCUCGGUUAUUUUUUAUUGCAUUUUUAUAAUUUUUCAUUAACUUUUUCUCCUUUCAAAUUUUUCUUCUUUUUUUUUAUGUGCUUUCAUUUUUUUUUGUUCACUUUUUUCUUUGUUUUAAAAUUUUCUAUAAAUUUUUUUCUUUUGUUUUAUUUCAUAUUUUUGCCUCUUCAUUUUUUAUUUUUUUCUUCUUUUUCUCAUUUUUUUCUCAAAUUUUAUUUUAUAUAUUUUGUAUUUUCAUUUUUUAUUUUUUUCUUGCUUUCUCUUAAAUCUUUUUGUUCGCACUUUUUUUAUUUCUUCUUUAUAAUUUUAAAACCUCAAACUUUUUUUUGUGCACAUUCUUUUAUUUUAUUUAUAUUUUUUAUUAACUUUUAUUUUAUUUUCAUCUUUUUCCUCUAUUUGUAUAUAUAUAUAUAUAUAUAUAUUUUUUGUUUUCUUUGUGCAUUCUAAACUAAAAGUUUUUUCCAUUUUGUAUUUGAAAUUUUUAUUCAUUUUGUCUUUUUAUAUUUUUUUGAUUCGUAAAUUUUUUAUUUUCUUACUUUGUUACUUUUUAUUUUUUUCCUUUUUUGGUAUUUUAUUUAAUUUUUUCUUUUAUAUUAAUAUUUUCUCUUAAUUUAUUUUUUAUUUAUAUUUUAAAAAAUUUUUAUAAAGUUCAAAAUUUUUUAUUUUUUCAUUUUCCUAUUUUUUUGUCUAUUUUUUUUGCUUUUUUUGUUCUAUUUUAUAAAUUUUCAAUAACUUUUUCCCUUCAAAAUUUUCUUUCUUUUUGCCUUUUUUUCAUAUGCUUUUGUUUUUAUUUGUUUUAAUUCUUUCAUUGUUUUAAAAUUAUUUAUAUUUCUUAAGCUUUUUUUAUUCCAAAUCUUUUCUUUUCAUUUUUAUUCUUUUCUUACUUUUCUUUUUUUUUUUCACAAAUUUCCUUUCACUUCUUAUUUGCGUUUUUAAAUUCUCAUACUUUUUUUUUUUUUGCACUUUCUCCUUUGGUUUUCAUUUUUAUUUUGAAUUAACUUUUCUCUUUUUUAAUUUUUUGCCUUUGACUUUUUAUAUUGUUUUCUCAUUAUGUCUUAUAUGUUUUUCAAUUUUUUGUAUUUUUUGAACUUUUUUUUUUUUUGUCAUUCCAUUUCAUUUUUUUUUUUUUCAAUUUUGUCUUUUUUAUUUUCUUACUUUUUAUAUUUUUAUUGUAUUUUUGUUCAUCUUUUAUUUUGGUUUAUUUUUUUAUUUUAUCAUUGUUGGUUAUUUUCUAUUGCAUUUUUAUAAUUUUUCUUUAACUUUUUCUCCUUUCAAAUUUUUCUUCUUUUUUUACUUAUUUUUUCACGUGCUUUCAUAUUUUUUUUGUUUUCACUUUUUUCUUUGUUUUUUUCUAUAAACUUUUUUCUUUUUGUUUUAUUUCAUAAUUUUGACUCUUCAUUUUUUAUUUUUUUCUUGUUUUAACUUUUUUUUUUUGCACUUCCUUGUCUUGUUUUUAUUUUUAUUUUGUAUUAACUUUUUCCCUUUGUUAAUUUUUUUGUCUUUGAUUUUUUUUAUUUUUUUCUUAUUACUUUUUUGCUUAUGUUUUCUAAAUUAAUUUUUUCUAUUUUGUAAUCCCUUUUCAUUUUUUAUCUCCUUUUAACUUUUUAUCUUUCAUUUUUUAUACCUUUAUUUCUUAUUGUUCGUUAUAUUUUUUUUUCUUUUUUGUUCGUAUUUUAUAAACUAAUUUUUUUUUACAAUUUUAAAACCUCUAACUUCUUUUUUUGUGCACUUCCUUUUGUUUUUAUUUCUUUUUUUGUUAACUUUUAUUUUAUUUUUUGUCUUUGAUUUUUUAUAUCUUUUUCUUGUAUUUGUUUUUUUUUUCCUUUAAACUAAAAGUUUUUUCUGUUUUAUAUUUCAAAUUUCUAUUCAUUUUGUCUUUUUAUAUUUUUUUGAUUUGCUAACUUUUUAUUUUCUUACUUUUUUUUUUUUCCAUUUUUGGUAUUUUAUUUUAUUUUUCUUUUAUAUUACUAUUUUUUAUUUAUAUUUUAAAAAUUUUAUAAAAUUUAAAAUUUUAUUUUUUGAAUCUUUUUUCUUUUUUCAUUUUCAUUUUUUUUGUUCUAUGUUGUAAUUUUUAAAUAACUUUUUCCCUUCAAAAUUUUCUUUCUUUUUGCUUUUUUUUUUUUCAUCUGCUUUCAGUGUUGCUUCUUUUUAAUUUUUUUGUUGUUUUAAAAUUUUUUAUAUUUCUUUUUCCUUUUUUAUUCCAAAUCUUUUGUCUUUUCAUUUUUAUUCUUUUCUUGCUUUUCUUAUUUUUUUCACAAAUUUCCUUUCAUUUCUUAUUUGCAUCUUUAAAUUAUUAGACUUUUUUUGUGCACUUUCUUUUGUUUUAUUUUAUUUUUUAUCUUUGAUUUUUAUAUCUUUUUCCUAUAUUUGUUAUAUUUUUUUGUUUUUCUUUGUAUAUUCUGAACUAAAAGUUUUUUCUAUUUUGUAUUUGAAAUUUUUAUUCAUUUUUCUUUUAUAUUUUUUUAUUCGCUAAUUUUUUAAUAUCUUACUUUUUUAUUUUUUGCUUUUUUGGUAUUUUAUUGAAUUUUUUCUUCUAUAUUAAUAUUUUAUCUUAAUUUAUUUUUCCAUUUAUUUUUAUUUAUAUUUUAAAAAAUUUUUAUAAAGUUCAAAAUUUUUUUUUUUUUUUUUUUUUUUUUUUGCUAUUUUUGUUCUACUUUGUAAUUUUUUAAUAACUUUUUCCCUUCACAAUUUUCCUUCUUUUUGCUUUUCUUUUCAUAUGCUUUCAUUUUUACUUGUUUUUAUUUUUUCGUUGUUUUAAAAAUUUUUAUUUUUUUUUUUUUAUUCCAAAUCUUUUGUCUUUUCAUUUUUAUUCUUUUCUUGCUUUCUUUUUUUUUUUUUCACAAAUUUCCUUUCAUUUCUUAUUUGCGUUUUUAAAUUCUCAUACUUUUUUUAUUUUGCAUUAACUUUUCUCUUUUUUAAUUUUUUUUCUCACUUUUUAUAUUGUUUUAUUAUUAGGCUUAUAUGUUUUUCAAUUUUUUCCUUUUUUAUUUUCUUACUUUUUAUAUUUUUUGUUGUAUUUUUGUUUUUUUUUCUUUUUUUGUGCUUUAUUUAUCUUUUUUCUUUUGCUUUAAUUUUUUUUCUUUCUUUUUUUUAUAGUUUCAUAAAUUUUUGUUAAGUUUUCAAAUUUUUUAUUUUUCUAUCUUUUUUUCUUAUUUUAUCAUUCUCGGUUAUUUUUUAUUGCAUUUUUAUAAUUUUUCAUUAACUUUUUCUCCUUUCAAAUUUUCUUCUUUUUUUUUAUGUGCUUUCAUUUUUUUUUGUUCACUUUUUUCUUUGUUUUAAAAUUUUCUAUAAAUUUUUUCUUUUUGUUUUAUUUCAUAUUUUUGCCUCUUCAUUUUUUAUUUUUUUCUUCUUUUCUCAUUUUUUCUCAAAUUUUAUUUUAUAUAUUUUGUAUUUUCAUUUUUUAUUUUUUUCUUGCUUUCUCUUAAAUCUUUUUGUUCGCACUUUUUUUUAUUUCUUCUUUAUAAUUUUAAAACCUCAAACUUCUUUUUUUGUGCACAUUCUUUUAUUUUUAUUUAUAUUUUUUAUUAACUUUUAUUUUAUUUUUCAUCUUUUUCCUCUAUUUGUUAUAUAUAUAUAUAUAUAUAUUUUUUGUUUUCUUUGUGCAUUCUAAACUAAAAGUUUUUUCCAUUUGUAUUUGAAAUUUUUAUUCAUUUUGUCUUUUUAUAUUUUUUGAUUCGUAAAUUUUUUAUUUUCUUACUUUGUUACUUUUAUUUUUUUUCCUUUUUUGGUAUUUUAUUUAAUUUUUUCUUUUAUAUUAAUAUUUUCUCUUAAUUUAUUUUUUAUUUAUAUUUUAAAAAAUUUUUAUAAAGUUCAAAAUUUUUUAUUUUUUCAUUUUCCUAUUUUUUUGUCUAUUUUUUUGCUAUUUUUUGUUCUAUUUUAUAAAUUUUCAAUAACUUUUUCCCUUCAAAAUUUUCUUUCUUUUUGCCUUUUUUUCAUAUGCUUUUGUUUUUAUUUGUUUUAAUUCUUUCAUUGUUUUAAAAUUAUUUAUAUUUCUUAAGCUUUUUUUAUUCCAAAUCUUUUCUUUUCAUUUUUAUUCUUUUUACUUUUCUUUUUUUUUCACAAAUUUCCUUUCACUUCUUAUUUGCGUUUUUAAAUUCUCACAUUUUUUUUUUUUUGCACUUCUCUCCUUUGGUUUUCAUUUUUAUUUUGAAUUAACUUUUCUCUUUUUAAUUUUUUGCCUUUGACUUUUUAUAUUGUUUUCUCAUUAUGUCUUAUAUGUUUUUCAAUUUUUUGUAUUUUUUGAACUUUUUUUUUAUUUUGUCAUUCAUUUCAUUUUUGAAGUUUUAUCAAUUUUGUCUUUUUUAUUUUCUUACUUUUUAUAUUUUAUUGUAUUUUGUUCAUCUUUUAUUUUGGUUUAUUUUUUUAUUUUAUCAUUGUUGGUUAUUUUCUAUUGCAUUUUUAUAAUUUUUCUUUAACUUUUUCUCCUUUCAAAUUUUUCUUCUUUUACUUAUUUUCACGUGCUUUCAUAUUUUUUUUGUUUUCACUUUUUUCUUUUUGUUUUAUUUCAUAAUUUUGACUCUUCAUUUUUUUUUUUUCUUGUUUUAACUUUUUUUUUGCACUUCCUUGUCUUGUUUUUAUUUUUAUUUUGUAUUAACUUUUUCCCUUUGUUAAUUUUUUUGUCUUGAUUUUUUUAUUUUUUUCUUAUUACUUUUUGCUUAUGUUUUCUAAAUUAAUUUUUUCUAUUUUGUAAUCCCUUUUCAUUUUUUAUACCUUUAUUUCUUAUUGUUCGUUAUAUUUUUUUUCUUUUUUGUUCGUAUUUUAUAAACUAAUUUUUUUUUACAAUUUUAAAACCUCUAACUUCUUUUUUUGUGCACUUCCUUUUGUUUUUAUUCUUUUUUUGUUAACUUUUAUUUUAUUUUUAUCUUUGAUUUUUUAUAUCUUUUUCUUGUAUUUGUUUUUUUUUUCUUUAAACUAAAAGUUUUUUCUGUUUUAUAUUUCAAAUUUCUAUUCAUUUUGUCUUUUUAUAUUUUUUUGAUUUGCUAACUUUUUAUUUUCUUACUUUUUUUUUCCAUUUUUGGUAUUUUAUUUUAUUUUUUCUUUUAUAUUACUAUUUUUUAUUUAUAUUUUAAAAUUUUUAUAAAAUUUAAAAUUUUAUUUUUUGAAUCUUUUUUCUUUUUUCAUUUUCAUUUUUUUUGUUCUUGUAAUUUUUCAAUAACUUUUUCCCUUCAAAAUUUUCUUUCUUUUUGCUUUUUUUUUUCAUCUGCUUUCAGUGUUGCUUUUUAAUUUUUUGUUGUUUUAAAAUUUUUUAUAUUUCUUUUUCCUUUUUAUUCCAAAUCUUUUGUCUUUUCAUUUUUAUUCUUUUCUUGCUUUUCUUAUUUUUUUCACAAAUUUCCUUUCAUUUCUUAUUUGCAUCUUUAAAUUAUUAGACUUUUUUGUGCACUUUCUUUUGUUUUUAUUUUAUUUUUUAUCUUUGAUUUUAUAUCUUUCCUAUAUUUGUUAUAUUUUUUUUGUUUUUCUUUGCAUAUUCUGAACUAAAAGUUUUUUCUAUUUUGUAUUUGAAAUUUUUAUUCAUUUUCUCUUUUAUUUUUUUAUUCGCUAAUUUUUUAAUAUCUUACUUUUUAUUUUUUGCUUUUUUGGUAUUUUAUUGAAUUUUUUCUUCUAUAUUAAUAUUUUAUCUUAAUUUAUUUUUCCAUUUAUUUUUAUUUAUAUUUUAAAAAAUUUUUAUAAAGUUCAAAAUUUUUUUUUAUUUUUUUUUUUCUUUUUUUUUUUGCUAUUUUUGUUCUACUUUGUAAUUUUUUAAUAACUUUUUCCCUUCAAAAUUUCCUUCUUUUUGCUUUUUUCAUAUGCUUUCAUUUUUACUUGUUUUAAUUUUUUCGUUAUUUUAAAAAUUUUUUUUUUUUGUUUUUAUUCCAAAUCUUUUGUCUUUUCAUUUUAUUCUUUUCUUGCUUUUCUUUUUUUUUUUUUCACAAAUUUCCUUUCAUUUCUUAUUUGCGUUUUUAAAUUCUCAUACUUUUUUUAUUUUGCAUUAACUUUUCUCUUUUUUAAUUUUUUUCUCACUUUUUAUAUUGUUUUAUUAUUAGGCUUAUAUGUUUUUCAAUUUUUUUCCUUUUUAUUUUCUUAUUUUUAUAUUUUUUGUUGUAUUUUUGUUUUUUUUCUUUUUUGUGCUUUAUUUAUCUUUUUUCUUUUGCUUUAAUUUUUUCUUUUCUUUUUUUAUAGUUUCAUAAAUUUUUGUUAAGUUUUCAAAUUUUUUAUUUUUCUAUCUUUUUUUCUUAUUUUAUCAUUCUCGGUUAUUUUUAUUGCAUUUUUAUAAUUUUUCAUUAACUUUUUCUCCUUUCAAAUUUUUCUUCUUUUUUUUUAUGUGCUUUCAUUUUUUUUUGUUCACUUUUUUCUUUGUUUAAAAUUUUCUAUAAAUUUUUUUCUUUUUGUUUUAUUUCAUAUUUUUGCCUCUUCAUUUUUAUUUUUUUCUUCUUUUCUCAUUUUUUUCUCAAAUUUUAUUUUAUAUAUUUUGUAUUUUCAUUUUUAUUUUUUUCUUGCUUUCUCUUAAAUUUUUUGUUCGCACUUUUUUUUAUUUCUUCUUUAUAAUUUUAAAACCUCAAACUUCUUUUUUGUGCACAUUCUUUUAUUUUUAUUUAUAUUUUUUAUUAACUUUUAUUUUUUCAUCUUUUUCCUCUAUUGUCGUAUAUAUAUUAUAUAUUUUUUGUUUUCUUUGUGCAUUCUAAACUAAAAGUUUUUUCCAUUUUGUAUUUGAAAUUUUUAUCAUUUUGUCUUUUUAUAUUUUUUUGAUUCGUAAAUUUUUUAUUUUCUUACUUUGUUACUUUUUAUUUUUUCUUUUUGUAUUUUAUUUAAUUUUCUUUUAUAUUAUAUUUUUCUUAAUUUAUUUUUUAUUUAUAUUUUUAAAAAUUUUUAUAAAGUUCAAAAAUUUUUAUUUUUUCAUUUCCUAUUUUUUUGUCUAUUUUUUUUGCUAUUUUUUUCUAUUUUAUAAAUUUUCAAUAACUUUUUCCCUUCAAAAUUUUCUUUCUUUUUGCCUUUUUUUCAUAUGCUUUUGUUUUUAUUUGUUUUAAUUCUUCAUUGUUUUAAAAUUAUUUAUAUUCUUAAGCUUUUUUAUUCCAAAUCUUUUCUUUUCAUUUUUAUUUUUUCUUACUUUCUUUUUUUUUUCACAAAUUUCCUUCACUUCUUAUUUGCGUUUUUAAAUUCUCACACUUUUUUUUUUUUUUGCACUUUCUUCCUUUGGUUCAUUUUUAUUUUGAAUUAACUUUUCUCUUUUUAAUUUUUUGCCUUUGACUUUUUAUAUUGUUUUCUCAUUAUGUCUUAUAUGUUUUUAAUUUUUUGUAUUUUUUGAACUUUUUUUUUUUAUUUUGUAUUCCAUUUAUUUUUGGAAGUUUUAUUCAAUUUUUGUCUUUUUUAUUUCUACUUUUUAUAUUUUAUUUUGUUCAUCUUUUAUUUUGGUUUAUUUUUUUAUUUUAUCAUUGUUGGUUAUUUUCUAUUGCAUUUUUAUAAUUUUUCUUUAACUUUUUCUCCUUUCAAAUUUUUCUUCUUUUUUUACUUAUUUUUUCACGUGCUUUCAUAUUUUUUGUUUUCACUUUUUUCUUUUUGUUUUAUUUCAUAAUUUUGACUCUUCAUUUUUUAUUUUUUUCUUGUUUUAACUUUUUUUUUUGCACUUCCUUGUCUUGUUUUUAUUUUUAUUUUGUAUUAACUUUUUCCCUUUGUUAAUUUUUUGUCUUUGAUUUUUUUAUUUUUUUCUUAUUACUUUUUUGCUUAUGUUUUCUAAAUUAAUUUUUUCUAUUUUGUAAUCCCUUUUCAUUUUUUAUACCUUUAUUUCUUAUUGUUUGUUAUAUUUUUUUUUUUUUUUGUUCGUAUUUUAUAAACUAAUUUUUUUUUUACAAUUUUAAAACCUCUAACUUCUUUUUUUGUGCACUUCCUUUUGUUUUUAUUUCUUUUUUUGUUAACUUUUAUUUUAUUUUUUAUCUUUGAUUUUUUAUAUCUUUUUCUUGUAUUUGUUUUUUUUUUCUUUAAACUAAAAGUUUUUUCUGUUUUAUAUUUCAAAUUUCUAUUCAUUUUGUCUUUUUAUAUUUUUUUGAUUUGCUAACUUUUUAUUUUCUUACUUUUUUUUUUUUUCCAUUUUUGGUAUUUUAUUUUAUUUUUUCUUUUAUAUUACUAUUUUUUAUUUAUAUUUUAAAAUUUUAUAAAAUUUAAAAUUUUAUUUUUUGAAUCUUUUUUCUUUUUUCAUUUUCAUUUUUUUUGUUCUAUGUUGUAAUUUUUCAAUAACUUUUUCCCUUCAAAAUUUUCUUUCUUUUUGCUUUUUUUUUUUUUCAUCUGCUUUCAGUGUUGCUUGUUUUAAUUUUUUUGUUGUUUUAAAAUUUUUUAUAUUUCUUUUUCCUUUUUUAUUCCAAAUCUUUUGUCUUUUCAUUUUUAUUCUUUUCUUGCUUUUCUUAUUUUUUUCACAAAUUUCCUUUCAUUUCUUAUUUGCAUCUUUAAAUUAUUAGACUUUUUUUGUGCACUUUCUUUUGUUUUUAUUUUAUUUUUUAUCUUUGAUUUUUUAUAUCUUUUUCCUAUAUUUGUUAUAUUUUUGUUGUUUUUCUUUGUAUGUUCUGAACUAAAAGUUUUUUCUAUUUUGUAUUUGAAAUUUUUAUUCAUUUUCUCUUUUGUAUUUUUUUAUUCGCUAAUUUUUUAAUAUCUUACUUUUUUAUUUUUUGCUUUUUUGGUAUUUUAUUUAAUUUUUUCUUCCAUAUUAAUAUUUUAUCUUAAUUUAUUUUUCCAUUUAUUUUUAUUUAUAUUUUAAAAAAUUUUUAUAAAGUUCAAAAUUUUUUUUUUUUAUUUUUUUUUUUUUUUUUAUUUUUGUUCUACUUUGUAAUUUUUUAAUAACUUUUUCCCUUCAAAAUUUUCCUUCUUUUUGCUUUUUUUCAUAUGCUUUCAUUUUUACUUGUUUUAAUUUUUUCGUUAUUUUAAAAAUUUUUAUUUUUUUUUUUUUUCCAAAUCUUUUGUCUUUUCAUUUUUAUUCUUUUCUUGCUUUUCUUUUUUUUUUUUCACAAAUUUCCUUUCAUUUCUUAUUUGCGUUUUUAAAUUCUCAUACUUUUUUUAUUUUGCAUUAACUUUUCUCUUUUUUAAUUUUUUUUCUCACUUUUUAUAUUGUUUUAUUAUUAGGCUUAUAUGUUUUUCAAUUUUUUUCCUUUUUUAUUUUCUUACUUUUUAUAUUUUUUGUUGUAUUUUUGUUUUUUUUUCUUUUUUUGUGCUUUAUUUAUCUUUUUUCUUUUGCUUUAAUUUUUUUUCUUUCUUUUUUUAGUUUCAUAAAUUUUUGUUAAGUUUUCAAAUUUUUUAUUUUUCUAUCUUUUUUUCUUAUUUUAUCAUUCUCGGUUAUUUUUUAUUGCAUUUUUAUAAUUUUUCAUUAACUUUUUCUCCUUUCAAAUUUUUCUUCUUUUUUUUUAUGUGCUUUCAUUUUUUUUUUGUUCACUUUUUUCUUUGUUUUAAAAUUUUCUAUAAAUUUUUUUCUUUUUGUUUUAUUUCAUAUUUUUGCCUCUUCAUUUUUUAUUUUUUUUCUCAAAUUUUAUUUUAUAUAUUUUGUAUUUUCAUUUUUUAUUUUUUUCUUGCUUUUUCUUAAAUCUUUUUGUUUGCACUUUUUUUUUAUUUCUUCUUUAUAAUUUUAAAACCUCAAACUUCUUUUUUUGUGCACAUUCUUUUAUUUUUAUUUUUAUUUUUAUU
rnacentral:lncRNA from 1 species